rnacentral:rRNA from 1 species
GUGGGGAAUUUUGGACAAUGGGCGAAAGCCUGAUCCAGCAAUGCCGCGUGUGUGAAGAAGGCCUUCGGGUUGUAAAGCACUUUUGGCAGGGAAGAAACAGUGCGUGCUAAUACCAUGCGCGAAUGACGGUACCUGCAGAAUAAGCACCGGCUAACUACGUGCCAGCAGCCGCGGUAAUACGUAGGGUGCAAGCGUUAAUCGGAAUUACUGGGCGUAAAGCGUGCGCAGGCGGCUUUGUAAGACGGAUGUGAAAGCCCCGGGCUCAACCUGGGAAGUGCAUUCGUGACUGCAAGGCGAGAGUGUGUCAGAGGGAGGUGGAAUUCCGCGUGUAGCAGUGAAAUGCGUAGAGAUGCGGAGGAACACCGAUGGCGAAGGCAGCCUCCUGGGAUAACACUGACGCUCAGGCACGAAAGCGUGGGGAGCAAACAGGAUUAGAUACCCGGGUAGUCC